rnacentral:rRNA from 1 species
ACGCUGGCGGCGUGCCUAAUACAUGCAAGUCGAACGGUCUUUUCUAUGGAAGCUUGCUUCCACUGAGAAGAUAGUGGCGAACGGGUGAGUAACACGUGGGUAACCUGCCCAUAAGAGGGGGAUAACAUCCGGAAACGGGUGCUAAUACCGCAUAGUUUUCUUGAUCGCAUGAUCGGGAAAGGAAAGACGGCCUUUGUGCUGUCGCUUAUGGAUGGACCCGCGGCGUAUUAGUUAGUUGGUGAGGUAAUGGCUCACCAAGACGAUGAUACGUAGCCGACCUGAGAGGGUGAUCGGCCACAUUGGGACUGAGACACGGCCCAAACUCCUACGGGAGGCAGCAGUAGGGAAUCUUCCGCAAUGGACGAAAGUCUGACGGAGCAACGCCGCGUGAGUGAAGAAGGUUUUCGGAAUCGUAAAACUCUGUUGUCAGAGAAGAACAAGUUGGAGAGUAACUGCUCCAGCCUUGACGGUAUCUGACCAGAAAGCCACGGCUAACUACGUGCCAGCAGCUGC